rnacentral:misc_RNA from 1 species
GAUGAAGAACGCAGCGAAAUGCGAUAAGUAGUGUGAAUUGCAGAAUUCAGUGAAUCAUCGAAUCUUUGAACGCACAUUGCGCCCUAUAGUAUUCUGUAGGGCAUGCAUGUUCGAGCGUCAUUUGUACCUUCAAGCUUUGCUUGGUGUUGGGUGUUUGUCCUCUCCCUGGUGUUUGGACUCGCCUUAAAACAAUUGGCAGCCAGUGUUUUGGUAUUGAAGCGCAGCACAAUUUGCGAUUCUGGCCUUAAAAUACUAGCGUCCAUAAGUACAUUCUCCCUUUUGACCUCGGAUCAUGUAGGGAUACCCGCUGAACUUAAGCAUAUCAAUAAGCGGAGGA